rnacentral:lncRNA from 1 species
UAUUCUAAGGAAGCCCUUGACCCGACAAUCCAAACUUGUGAUGUCACAUUGCUCUCAGUCUGCUAGUUGGCAACCAGCGCUUGAAAACAUCUGAUGCAGUGGGGUGGAUCCAGUCUGCUGCUUUUGCCAAGAAGGACCAACAAGAAAACUCAGCUCUGCCCUCAGGUGGUCGGGGUGCAGCUACGGAGUGCUACGGGUUUAAAAACAUCUGAGGAUGAGAGUAAAGACAAGGACUUUAGCAACAUUCUUGCAUGGAACUUGACCGGGAAAGAACUCGAAAGCCACAUACCAUACAUUUCAAUUUACCAGCAUGAUUUCAACCAACAGAAAAGCCCCGUACGUAGGCAGUUUUUCCUUCAAAACCACAAUUCACAAGAGGAAGCGAAGAAGUUUCAACAAGAAGUUUCAACAAACACCACCCAGUACAUAUCAACAACAUUUCUGCAACCUCAUAAGAACUACUAUCUGAGCAACACUAAGGAGUCAGAAGGUGUCAUGAAGCUGCCCACUGAAGGCCCUUCAAACAUCACAGAAAUUUUUCAAAGUCCUUCAAAAAGGCAAGAUAGAAGUCCAUCUCAAUGCAAUUUACCAUAGACGACUGUCUAACUUGGCCGGCAUCGUUAAAAUAAGCCAAUCUCAAUGCUGCAAUUUUGGCAAAAGCCUAGCUUGGGUUUAAUUUCCAAUAAUGAAAACAUUUUUUUUGGUUCUGCAGGAUGAAGGUUCAAACCACUGUUACCUGGCACUAAAGAGAGUUUUGACUAUCUGGCUGAGAUUCUUUCCCUUAGCUCAGGUCGAUGUGGCCAUCACCUCUUUAUCCAAGGUAAUGGACGGCACAGUACCAACCAAAUUUACAAACAUAAGAGUUGCAGCUAUUAUCACACAAUGGUCUCCAAAAGAAUACUGCUCCACUCUUUAGGCCUAAAUUUCUUUUUGUCCAAGUCAAGGGAGCACAGACAGAAAAGCACAGAAGAGGACAUCUUCAAUCGGUCAGUCAAUCGUACUUAUUAAGCGCUUACUAUGUGCAGAACGCUGUACUAAGUGCUCGGAAGAGUAUACUAUAACUAUAAACAGACCCAUUCCCUGCCCAUGACGGUUACAGUCUGGUGUGGGGGGGGGAUGGACAGGCAUUAAAAUAAGUAAAUAAAUAAAAUGCAUAUAUAUUGAUAUAGAUGAAUUACAGAUAUAAUAAAUACAUUGGAUAUAAUACAUUAGAGAUAUUUAUUUAUUUAUUGAGUGUUUAUUGUGUGCAGAGCACUGUACUAAGUGCUUGGGAGAGUAUAUAACAGAGUUGGUAGGCAUGUUCCCUGCCCACAAGGAGCUUACAGUCUAGAGGGGGAGACGGACAUUAAUAUAAAUAAAUUACACAUAGGUAAAUAAGUGCUGUGGGGCUGAGGGUGCAAGUCCAAGUGCAAUGGCAACGCAGAAGGGAGUGAGAAGAGGAACUGAGAGCUUAGAUGGGAAAGGCCAGUCUUCUCCUGUGAUUCUUAAUUUUAGAAACAUCAGAUUCACACAACUAUGAUUAAAUAGGAACAAGAUAGACAGUUGCAGAAGUGACACCUUCUAGAGAAGCAGCAUGGCUCAGUGGAAAGAGCAUGGGCUGGGGAGUCAGAGAUCAUGGGUUCAAAUCCCGGCUCUGCCGCUUGUCAGCUGUGUGACUUUGGACAAGACACUUCACUUCUCUGGGCCUCAGUUGUCUCAUCUGUAAAAUAGGCAUUAAGACUGUGAGCCCCACCUGGGACAAUCUGAUCACCUUUCAUCAACCCCAGCGCUUAGAACAGUGCUUUGCACAUAGUAAGCGCUUAACAGAUGUGAUCAUCAUUAUUAUUAUUACAUAUAGCCAGGCUAAGCUCAUCACUACACUGUAAACUUGAGGGCAGGGUCCAUGACUACCAACCUUAUUGGUACAACUCUAGAUUGUGAGCCCCACAAGGGACACCUGUGUAUUCUCUCCCGGCAUUUACUUCAGUGCUCUGUGUACAACAGUUAAUACUAUUACCACUAAUACUAUUUUUUUAAAGGUAUUUCAUCCAAUCAUAUUUGUUGAGCGCUUACUAUGUGCAGAGCCCUGUGCUAAGGGCUUGGGAGAGUACAAUAUAACAACAGACACAUUUUGUUCUGCUAUAGAUGUGUCCUGCUCCACAUUCUGCUAUAGGUGUGCUGAGUUUGAAGUGCCGGCAGGAUAGCCAACUGGAGAUGUCUUGGAGGCAAAAGGAGAUGCAGCAUUGCAAGUCAGAAGAGGGGGCUAGAGAUAGAGUUAGAUAUUGUCCACAGACACAGUCUUACAGAGACUGUAAGGCUCUAGACUACUAAAUAGACUACGGUCUAUUUGUUAAGCCCUUACUUUGUGCCUGGCUCUGUUCUAAGCGCUGGGGUAGAUAUUAGUUUAUUGGGUUG